UUUAUGGCGGUUUUGGAGCAGUGGCUUCUUUCUUGCUGAGCGGCCUUUCAGGUUAUGUCGAUAUAGGACUCGUUUUACUGUGGAUAUAGAUACUUUUGUACCUGUUUCGCCCAGCAUCUUCACAAGGUCCUUUGCUGUUGUUCUGGGAUUGAUUUGCACUUUUCGCACCAAAAUGAACAUGGUACCUUCAGGCAUUUGGAAAUUGCUCCCAAGGAUGAACCAGACUUGUGGAGGUCUUGGCUGAUUUCUUUUGAUUUUCCCAUGAUGUCAAGCAAAGAGGCACUGUGUUUGAAGCCAACAUCCUCCUGCUCUCCAUCUCUGUGAAGCCAACAGCCUCCUCCUUUCCAUUUCUGUGAAGCCAACAGCCUCCUGCUCUCAUCUCUGUGAAGCCAACAGCCUCCUGCUCUCCAUCUCUGUGAAGCCAACAGCCUGCAGCUAUCCAUCUCUGUGAAGCCAACAGCCUCCUGCUCUGCUCUCUGUGAAGUCAACAGCCUGCAGCUAUCCAUCUCUGUGAAGCCAACAGCAUGCAGCUAUCCAUCUCUGUGAAGCCAACAGCCUCCUGCUCUGCUCUCUGUGAAGUCAACAUCCUCCUGCUCUGCUCUCUGUGAAGCCAACAGCCUGCAGCUAUCCAUCUCUGUGAAGCCAACAGCCUCCUGCUCUGCUCUCUGUGAAGUCAACAGCCUUCUGCUCUGCUCUCUGUGAAGUCAACAGCCUCCUGCUCUGCUCUCUGAAGUCAAGAGCUUGCAGCUAUCCAUCUCUGUGAAGCCAACAGCCUCCUGCUCUGCUCUCUGUGAAGCCAACAGCCUGCAGCUAUCCAUCUCUGUGAAGCCAACAGCCUCCUGCUCUGCUCUCUGUGAAGUCAACAGCCUCCUGCUCUGCUCUCUGUGAAGCCAACAGCCUCCUGCUUUCCAUCUAUCCAGUGUGCUCAUGUCCUAAUCAGUCAAAGCCUUUAAUGUUUAACCUGAGUAUUAAGGGUUCAAGUCAAUGAUAAACCAGCAAGUCAGUGAUCCCAGCUUUUUUUACACCACACCAGACAACACCAUGUGUGCUGGCUGGUAUAUUUCCAUGAUUGAAAUAUUAUCCCAAUAUCAGGUAGCUAAUUGUGCAGUGUCAGUAAACAUGAUAUUAUCAGAACACACACUCCAACGUGUUUUUAAUACCACGUAUUGUAAAGAUAUUAAAUAAAACAUUUGAAUCAUUCAUGAAUGUGUCAUAAAUAAUGCAGUUUAGAUCAAUGAGAAUUAGUCAUUGGCUUUGGUUUCAACACAUUUGAUGACACAUUUCACAAACAAUUCUGCACCAAGCUUCAAAGUUCAUCAUAAUAUUAUGCCACAUGUUUGAUGGAUCUGCAGUCACACUUAAUCUAUAUAACAUGUUUUCUACCUGUGUCAGGAACGCUAUCUAGGACUGAUGAUUGUGGUUUGUUUUAAACUGGAUCUUCAGUAUUAUGUGGCAUGGAUUUGGUGUAAAAUAAACUGGGCUUUAGUACUUCACACCCGAUACUAGUCUGUUGUAAACCAAACUGGAGCUUCAGUACUGUGUGGGUCAGUGAAAUUGGUCUGUUGUAAACCAAACUGGAGUUUCCGGAGUGUGCUGGUAAUUUGUGUCAUAGCUGACAUUGUUGACAAAGCAGGACGUCUGGAGAACUACAGUAACUCCUCACUGCCCCUUCUCCCAGACUACUAGAAUCUUCUGGAGGUCCUGGAUUCCUGUGGGGGCAAUUACCACAGCUGAGAAAGCUUAAACAGGGGAUUUGUGGUCUUACAGCUAGCUCUAAGGGGCUGGGUCACUAUCCCCAUGACUGGGGCGCAAAGUUGUGGACUCCAGUCACAUGACUUGAACUAGAGUCUGACUUGACAGAAAAUAAAAAAACUUGUCACGUGACUUGGAGCCUCAAGUCUCGGGAUUUGACUUUGAUUUGAGACUGGUGACUUGAAAUUAUCUGACCAGGUUUUGUAAUGUUUUGUCAACGUGGAAUACUCUACACACAGCUAGAGACAGUAGCUGCAGUAUGGGCCUUGCAAAACACGCAAACUCGGCACUCUGAUUGGACCAGCAAACUGUCAAUCAACACAGGUCUGGUGAAUUGUUUGCUGUUGCUUUCACACGUUUAAAUGGAUAGGCCCUAUGUGGUAAAUCUAAAUUCCAUCCAAUACUUCGAUGUUUCAUCAAUCCAUCCCCAUACUGUUUAUUGCAACAUGUAGACAUUUUUGUUUCAUGUUUGAUAGGCCUACGAUACAUUUUUAUUUGAUAGCCAACCAAUUUAUUACCCUGCUCUGAGUGGGCGCGAUGUUUAUAGUGCGCAUGAACGUUCAUAGAACACAAGACACAAGUCCUAAGACAACUUAGAACUUGGAAAUAUCUGACUUCCAAGCGUUCAAAACAACUGGGAACUCGGGGAAAAAAACAGGCUGAGGAAAGUUCAGACUGGGGAAAAUCGAUUUGAACUCUGAAUUUCAACUCGGGCCUCUUUCUCGAGCUCCGACUUUUCGACUUGCAGAUCAGUGAAGGCAAAAUCUGACCUCGUAUUCUCCUUGUUCCCAGUUGUUUGAACGCGGCACAAAUCUUACGUCUUGGUCAUUUUUGUUGUGCGUAAUAGGGAGCGCGCACACCUCAAUCCGCAUAGCAAUAAGCUACGUGUCCUACGUGGACUUUGAACAAUCAUUUUCUCUUAAUCGAUGUAUGUAUGGUGUUGAAACCUCAUGAAUAAUCAUUAAGUCUGGUUAAGACGGACAAUAAAUGUGUAAAUAGCCUUUUACACAGUAGAACCAGUUUAUUGGUUGGAAUAGCAACCUGGGUAAUUGUAUGGUCCAGGGGGCCAAGCCCUUAUAUUAUGUAGGCCUACAUAAUAGGGGGGUGUACAGUUGUGCCCUCUACCAGUGUCUGUUCAGAUUGUUUCAGGGUUAACCUGUUCUUUUGGGCUAUUGCCAGUGUAUAUUUGGUAAAUCUAAUUGUAUAUUUUGCAUGAUAUGGCGCUUCCACCAUUGGACCACCAAGACCUGUAUAUAAAUCUACACUGAGCAGCCAACCUGCAUUUCCUUCUUCUGAUUUCUGCCCUUAUGACUGCUACAAGGUCCCUAUUUUACAAUGACAUAGGUUGAUAUGGUGUAGACAAAAUAAUGAAAAGGUCGGUCUGGUAGCCUCAGUAAAUAGACAAAGAUUUGUAGCUGAACAAGUCGUUGAAUGUAUAGAUUUAGUUUUUACUUGGCUUGAAAACUUGGUGCUCCUGCCUAAGUGUUUCU